ensembl:misc_RNA Metazoa_SRP Metazoan signal recognition particle RNA
GCCGAGCAAGGUGGCACAUGCUUGUAGUCUCAGCUACUCAGGAGGCUGAGGCAGGAGGAUUGUUUGAGCCCAGGAGAUUGAGGCUGCAGUGAGCAGUGAUCACACCACUGCACUCCAGCCUGGGCAACAAAGCAAGACCCUGUCUUUA